AUCAGGACCCAGUGAGGUGGGCUGCUCCAGAUGGCGGCAUGGCCCCCACCCGGCCCCUCUGCUCCUGACACCGGGAAUCAUCCACAGGGCCAGGAGAGCAGCACCCAGUGUGGCGUGACCCCCGAUCUCCCGCCGAGUGCCCCCCUCCCCCUUGACGCCCCGCUCCUGGGGGGUGUUCUACAGGAAGGGCCCAAAGAGGGCGGUCCGACCUGCCAGACCACAUUCCAAGAGAGCAGGCUCCAGGAGCAGAGCCCUGUCUGGGUUCUCAGGCCCGCACCGAGCAGGCGCUUCACGUCGAUGGCCCCCGUGGUGACUCCAGGUUAGCUGUCUUCCCUCGAUGCCAGACCCCAGAGCUGGCGCAGAGAAGGACGGCCAAGAGAGCUCAGCGUCCUGGAACUUGUGUUUGAGUCUCCACUCGGCUCCUUUCCCGGCUGUGUGGCCUCAGGGAAGUUACUUACCCUUUCCGAGCCUUGGGUUCUGGGGGUCAUCGUCUGCCUCCCAGAGUGGUUGUGAGGAUUACACGGGCAAUGAGACAGAAUUAGCAGCCGUCGGCCACUUCAGACGAGUGAUUAGAAGGAUGUCAUGGUCAGGGCUGCGUGGGGAGGGGCAAGAUGAAGAUGAGGCUCUGUCUCCCUCCUCUCGCUGGAGGGAUCAGCGAGGUGCGGGAGGGGUGGUGGGAAUGGGGCUCACAGGUCUCCAGCCUCACGGUGAGGGAAGGCCUCACUCCCCUCAGACCCCACGGCAGGGUCGAAUUCAUUCAUUCAUUCGACAGACACCUAGUAAGCGCCUCUUAAAUGUCAAAUACUAUUCGGGCACUGAGACUGUAGCAAUUGACAAAGUCCCUGCCACUCUGGCUUUCGUCUUCCGCUCAGGGAAGACAGAAAGUAAGCAAAAGACUACAACUAGUAGAGGACAUAUGUCAGGGAAUGUUCAGGCCUGCGAAGAACAGCAAAGCAGAGUCGGGGGAUUGUUUUACAAAGGGGGGUCAGGGAGGUCCUCUCGGAUCAGCCAACUGGUGAGCAGAGACCUGUGUGUCCUGAGAAGAUAAGCCCUGGGGAUGCAGAGAGGAAGAGUCUCCUAGACAGCAGGAACAGCAGGUGCAAAGGCCCUGCGGCUGGCAUUUGGGGCCAGCACUGCUGUCACCAAUGCUGUUCAGGAAGUGCUUCCUGUAAGCAAGGCUCUGGCUGUGCCCGGAUUCAAGCACACACACAGACUGAAGCCUUGGAAAGGGAAAGCUUGGAUGCUGGUCUGGUUCUGCUGUGUGACAAAGACAGCUUCUUUUCCCUCUCUGGGCUCUAGUUCUCUUUCUGCACAUUGAAGAGUUGGCCUGAGCUUGAAGGGUGGCCUCUAAGGUGUGUGAGCUUAAAAUCUAGAGGCCAGCAAACGGGCCUGUGGGGUGCAGAUCAGGAGUGGAGUGGAGAGCGAAGGGAAACCACCCUCACCAAGGUGGGACAUGAACCGUCGCUACUCAGAGGUGGCAGAGCGAUGCCCCAUGGCGCCCUAGACUCCAGCCCCUCGCUCUCCCUGGUUUCAGCUGCUGCAGGAACAAGCAGCAGAGUGGGCAGAAGUGGCUGCACAGAGCUCUCCCAGGGUCCCCUGCGGGUCCAGGGGACAGCCAUUGGUGCAGUUUCCUCCGAGCAGGCCUGGUACCCGAAAGCCACUUUGUCUGCCUGGGUGUUGCUGGGAGCUGCCCCGGCGUUCCUGGAAAUCCAGCCAGCCACUGGCAAGCACGGGGACAAGCAAGGGCUUGCUCUGGGAGGCCCUCCAAGCCGGGGCCGGCCCCCUCCCAGGGGCACUUGCAGCUGCCCACGAAGACCAGCGGGUCCCGCCUCUCAGCUUGAGCAGCCUUGCCUUGAGGAAGCUCCCCAUGCUCCGAGCUGAAGCUUCUUCAUCCGGGGAGCUGAGAAAAGCCUCACUUGUGUCGGGUGAAGCCAGACUUAAGUGACACCAGGCGCAUGGAAAGCCCUUGGUGAAUUUGGUGGUCCUAGGACCGCAUUGGUUUCCUCUGCAAAAAGGACCAGGACCCAGGCUGGGGCCCCGGACUCCUUCCUCUGCCCUCUCCGCCUGCCUACCACCCUGUCCGUCCCUUUCACUUACCUUGUGGCCUUAGGUUUUCACAGCUGGGUGCGUUCGCUUCAAGGAGCUGUGCCAGGCCCCUUAAAUCAGAGCUUCUCAAACUUUGACACGCAUGUGACUCACCUGGGGACCUUGCUAGUGUGAGCGCUCUGGUUUGGCAAGCCUGGGGUGGCACUUGAGAUCUAGCUAUUUCUACCCAGCUCCUGAUAUUAAAGAAAAAACUAUUCGAGGACAUUUGUUGAGAGGAUUCUUGCUAAGACUGGACGACGCAGAAGUGGACGUGCAAGUCCGAAAGUCAAGGCUUGGCUGAGAAGGAGCUCUGGGGAGUCUGAGUAGACUUUGGUCCGGGAGAGAAUCUUUGUAACCGGUGACACUGAUGCUGCGCGUCCAGGGGCCACUCUUUCAGUAGGAGACCACAGACACCUGAAAGUCAGCAUGGUAGAGACGGAGUUCUGUAUCUUCCCUUCCACGCCCUCUCCUGCCCUUGUCCUGUAUUCCCCACCAUUCUCUUCCUCUCAAGGACUUUUCCAAAAAAGUCAACUUUAUUGAGGUGUAAUUUAUACGCAAUAAAAAUAAAC
rnacentral:lncRNA from 1 species